UACGUAGGGGGCUAGCGUUGUCCGGAUUUAUUGGGCGUAAAGCGCGUGUAGGCGGUCCGGUAAGUCCGCUGUGAAAGUCGGGGGCUCAACCCUCGGAUGCCGGUGGAUACUGUCGGGCUUGAGUACGGAAGAGGCGAGUGGAAUUCCUGGUGUAGCGGUGAAAUGCGCAGAUAUCAGGAGGAACACCAAUUGCGAAGGCAGCUCGCUGGGACGUUACUGACGCUGAGGCGCGAAAGCGUGGGGAGCAAACAGG
rnacentral:rRNA from 1 species